CCCGCACAAGCGGCGGAGCAUGUGGAUUAAUUCGAUGCAACGCGAAGAACCUUACCUGGGCUUGACAUACACCGGAUCGGGCUAGAGAUAGUCUUUCCCUUGUGGCUGGUGUACAGGUGGUGCAUGGUUGCCGUCAGCUCGUGUCGUGAGAUGUUGGGUUAAGUCCCGCAACGAGCGCAACCCUUGUCUUAUGUUGCCAGCACGUGAUGGUGGGGACUCAUGAGAGACUGCCGGGGUUAACUCGGAGGAAGGUGGGGAUGACGUCAAAUCAUCAUGCCCCUUAUGCCCAGGGCUUCACACAUGCUACAAUGGUCGGUACAACGCGUGUGCGACACUGUGAGGUGAAGCUAAUCGCUCUAAAGCCGGUCGUAGUUCGGAUUGGGGUCUGCAACUCGACCCCAUGAAGUCGGAGUCGCUAGUAAUCGCAGAUCAGCAACGCUGCGGUGAAUACGUUCCCGGGCCUU
rnacentral:rRNA from 1 species